AGGCCUCUGUAUGCAUGGUGAAGGCUGAAGACACUCAGGCACUGGCUAAUUCCACAAAUCUCUCCAUCAGAGACCAGAAAAUCACUGCUUCAACAGCCAAGAAACCUGAAGGAGUGCAGUCUCCUGAUGCCAACAACAGCAAACCUGCUUCAGGACAG